rnacentral:rRNA from 1 species
AGUGAACGCUGGCGGUAGGCCUAACACAUGCAAGUCGAACGGCAGCACAGUAAGAGCUUGCUCUUACGGGUGGCGAGUGGCGGACGGGUGAGGAAUACAUCGGAAUCUACUUUUUCGUGGGGGAUAACGUAGGGACACUUACGCUAAUACCGCAUACGACCUACGGGUGAAAGCAGGGGAUCUUCGGACCUUGCGCGAUUGAAUGAGCCGAUGUCGGAUUAGCUAGUUGGCGGGGUAAAGGCCCACCAAGGCGACGAUCCGUAGCUGGUCUGAGAGGAUGAUCAGCCACACUGGAACUGAGACACGGUCCAGACUCCUACGGGAGGCAGCAGUGGGGAAUAUUGGACAAUGGGCGCAAGCCUGAUCCAGCCAUACCGCGUGAGUGAAGAAGGCCUUCGGGUUGUAAAGCCCUUUUGUUGGGAAAGAAAAGCAGCAGGUUAAUACCCCGCUGUUCUGACGGUACCCAAAGAAUAAGCACCGGCUAACUUCGUG